GAAGUGAAAAUNGUCAGUUCCUGCCUUAAC
rnacentral:piRNA from 1 species